rnacentral:lncRNA from 1 species
UAUAUGUUACCAAUAGUACAAAAAAAUAAUAGUUAAAAAAGAAGCACAUUUUGAAGCAUACGCAGAAAUCAUAGGCAAAAGAUGGCAAACAAAUAAGUAGUUUAGUGCUUUUUUAUUUCUCAUCCUUGUAAAUUGUUUUUUUAUUAAUUAGGCAUAACAUUUUUUUUUACUGUCCAAAGUAAUAUAUGAAACUCAUACUUAUCUGUAAAUCAAAUCUCUUGCUGCUGCCCGUAUCUGUGACUUGACUGACUUCUAUGCAGAUCAGGACAUCCUCCCAAUCCUGAAUAGAGUAUAAAAUCUUUGCUAUACCAAAAUAUUUGUCUUGUAAUAAAAAAACG